rnacentral:lncRNA from 10 species
ACUUCCGGCUUCCCUGCUCCCACAAAAUGGUAGCCGCCGUGGGGGAUGUCCAGUUUUUUUUCCUCUUCCCAAGUACAGACGCAGAGCAGACUUGUCUUUCCGCUUAACCUCAACCUCGUGUGAUCUGCCAGUUUCGCUCCCGGUUAGCCCAGGACUUUUUAUAGCAUAGAGUUUUAAAGCAAGGGCUUAGAAUCAGACCUGGGUCAAAAUCCUGCCUUCCACCUUCACCAAGGCAGUGUGACCUUGACGUUCCUACAUAAGAGAUUAAAAUACGCCAAAUUCCAGCGAAACAGCUGAUGCCAGCCAGCUUGAAGACCCCUGCCACAGAAGAAGGGAAUCAGCAUGAGAAUACAGCUUCUUCAUCUCGCUGUCCCAUGACUUCGCCCUGUACUCUUCAGCCAAUUAAUGAUCUCCACACUUGGGACCACUCUAAAACCCUUAAGAACCUGAGACUCAAAGUCCUCCUGGAGACGAAUUUGAGGUUUCCUCCUAUCUGUGUUUGGUGGCCCUAUGAUUAAACCUCUUUCUCUUCUGCAACCUGGUGUCCCAGUGUAUUAACUUGCCAUGGGCAUCAGACAACAAACCUAUAUAUAGUAUCCCAAAUAUGGUGCUCCACUUUGAAA